rnacentral:sRNA from 1 species
UAACGCAUCGUUGCUGCCUAUAAAAUUA